rnacentral:rRNA from 1 species
GACGAACGCUGGCGGCGUGCUUAACACAUGCAAGUCGAACGGAAAGGCCCUGCUUUUGUGGGGUGCUCGAGUGGCGAACGGGUGAGUAACACGUGAGUAACCUGCCCUUGACUUUGGGAUAACUUCAGGAAACUGGGGCUAAUACCGGAUAGGAGCUCCUGCUGCAUGGUGGGGGUUGGAGAGUUUCGGCGGUUGGGGAUGGACUCGCGGCUUAUCAGCUUGUUGGUGGGGUAGUGGCUUACCAAGGCGUCGACGGGUAGCCGGCCUGAGAGGGUGACCGGCCACAUUGGGACUGAGAUACGGCCCAGACUCCUACGGGAGGCAGCAGUGGGGAAUAUUGCACAAUGGGCGGAAGCCUGAUGCAGCAACGCCGCGUGCGGGAUGACGGCCUUCGGGUUGUAAACCGCUUUCGCCUGUGACGAAGCGUGAGUGACGGUAAUGGGUAAAGAAGCACCGGCUAACUACGUG